UACAGAGGUCUCAAGCGUUGUUCGGAUUCAUUGGGCUUAAAGGGCGCGUAGGCGGGCAAGCAAGUCCGGGGUGAAAGCCCCCAGCUCAACUGGGGAAGUGCCUUGGAAACUGCUUGUCUAGAGGGAGGUAGGGGCAUGUGGAACUUCGGGUGGAGCGGUGAAAUGCGUUGAUAUCCGAAGGAACGCCGGUGGCGAAAGCGACGUGCUGGAUCUCUUCUGACGCUGAGGCGCGAAAGCUAGGGUAGCGAACGGG
rnacentral:rRNA from 1 species